rnacentral:rRNA from 1 species
GAUGAACGCUGGCGGCGUGCUUAACACAUGCAAGUCGAACGGGAAUUAUUUUAUUGAAACUUCGGUCGAUUUAAUUUAAUUCUAGUGGCGGACGGGUGAGUAACGCGUGGGUAACCUGCCUUAUACAGGGGGAUAACAGUCAGAAAUGGCUGCUAAUACCGCAUAAGCGCACAGAGCUGCAUGGCUCAGUGUGUAAAACUCCGGUGGUAUAAGAUGGACCCGCGUUGGAUUAGCUGGUUGGCAGGGUAACGGCCUACCAAGGCGACGAUCCAUAGCCGGCCUGAGGGGGUGAACGGCCACAUUGGGACUGAGGCACGGCCCAGACUCCUACGGGAGGCAGCAGUGGGGAAUAUUGCACAAUGGGGGAAACCCUGAUGCAGCGACGCCGCGUGAAGGAAGAAGUAUCUCGGUAUGUAAACUUCUAUCAGCAGGGAAGAUAGUGACGGUACCUGGCUAAGAAGCCCCGGCUAACUACGUG